rnacentral:rRNA from 1 species
GGUUAAGCGAACAAGUGCAUGUGGUGGAUGCCUUGGCGAUCACAGGCGAUGAAGGACGCGGUAGCCUGCGAAAAGCGACGGGGAGCUGGCAAACGAGCUUUGAUCCGUCGAUGUCCGAAUGGGGAAACCCGACCCUUCUGGGUCAUCCUGAGCUGAAUACAUAGGCUCAGUGAAGCGAACGCGGUGAACUGAAACAUCUAAGUAACCGCAGGAAAAGAAAUCAACCGAGAUUCCCAAAGUAGUGGCGAGCGAAAUGGGAUCAGCCUGUACUCUUUAGCACGACCGUUAGCCGAACACUCUGGAAAGUGUGGCCAUAGCAGGUGAUAGCCUUGUAGGCGGAAGCGGAUGUGUGGAACUAGGUGUACGACGAGUAGGGCGGGACACGUGAAAUCCUGUCUGAAGAUGGGGGGACCAUCCUCCAAGGCUAAAUACUCGUGAUCGACCGAUAGUGAACCAGUACCGUGAGGGAAAGGCGAAAAGAACCCCGGGAGGGGAGUGAAAUAGAUCCUGAAACCGCAUGCAUACAAACAGUCGGAGCCUUUGCGAAGGGGUGACGGCGUACCUUUUGUAUAAUGGGUCAGCGACUUACGUUCAGUAGCAAGCUUAACUGAUUAAGGCAGGCGUAGCGAAAGCGAGUCCGAAUAGGGCAUUCAGUUGCUGGGCGUAGACCCGAAACCAAGUGAUCUAUCCAUGGCCAGGUUGAAGGUGCGGUAACACGUACUGGAGGACCGAACUCAC